CGGCUAGGGGUCCAUCCCGGAUUACCAACCCGAUGCAAACUGCGAAUACCGAAGAGUAAUGCAUAGGAGACACACGGCGGGUGCUAACGUUCGUCGUGGAGAGGGAAACAACCCAGACCGCCAGCUAAGGUCCCAAAGUUUAUAUUAAGUGGGAAACGAGGUGGGAAGGCAUAGACAGCUAGGAUGUUGGCUUAGAAGCAGCCAUCAUUUAAAGAAAGCGUAAUAGCUCACUAGUCGAGUCGGCCUGCGCGGAAGAUGUAACGGGGCUGAAAUAUAGCACCGAAGCUGCGGCAUCAGGAGCAACAUUAAUGGUUUUUAGGUAACGACUCACGAAGGGCGUGAGUUGGUUGAGUAAACGAAGGUUGAGUUGGAUUGAGAAGCGACAAGAAUCAUUAAUGUUGCUCCUGUUGGGUAGGGGAGCGUUGUGUAAGCGGAAGAAGGUAAAUUGAGAGGUUUGCUGGACGUAUCACAAGUGCGAAUGCUGACAUAAGUAACGAUAAAACGGGUGAAAAACCCGUUCGCCGGAAGACCAAGGGUUCCUGUCCAACGUUAAUCGGGGCAGGGUGAGUCGGCCCCUAAGGCGAGGCUGAAAAGCGUAGUUGAUGGGAAACGGGUUAAUAUUCCCGUACUUUGAUAAACUGCGAUGUGGGGACGGAGAAGGUUAGGUUAUCGACCUGUUGGAUGGUCGUUUAAGCCUGUAGGUGGGAAGAUUAGGCAAAUCCGGUCUUCUAUUAAACGCUGAGGGGUGAAGAGGAGUUUCUAAGGAGACGAAGUAACUGAUACCACGCUUCCAGGAAAAGCCACUAAGCGAAAGGUUUAUUGGAACCGUACUGAAAACCGACACAG
rnacentral:rRNA from 1 species